GGGCGUUUAGCUCAGUUGGUAGAGCAGCUGACUCUUAAUCAGCGGGUCGCAGGUUCGAAUCCUGCAACGCCCA
rnacentral:tRNA from 1 species